UACGUAGGGGGCAAGCGUUGUCCGGAAUCAUUGGGCGUAAAGCGCGUGUAGGCGGCCCGGUAAGUCCGCUGUGAAAGUCCAGGGCUCAACCCUGGGAUGCCAGUGGAUACUGUCGGGCUCGAGUCCGGAAGAGGCGAGUGGAAUUCCUGGUGUAGCGGUGAAAUGCGCAGAUAUCAGGAGGAACACCGAUGGCGAAGGCGGCAUCCUGGACCGGUAUUGACGCUGAGGCGCGAAAGCCAGGGGAGCAAACGGG
rnacentral:rRNA from 1 species